rnacentral:rRNA from 1 species
UACGUAGGGGCAGCGUUGUCCGGAAUCAUUGGCGUAAAGCGCGUGUAGGCGGCUUGGUAAGUCCGCUCUGAAAGUCCGGGGCUCAACUCCGGAUCUGCGGUCGAUACGGGCAUCACUGGAGUUCGGCAGGGGAGACUGGAAUCCGGUGUAGCGGUGGAAAUGCGCAGAUAUCAGGAGGAACACCGGUGGCGAAGGCGGGUCUCUGGGCCGAUACUGACGCUGAGGAGCGAAAGCGUGGGGAGCGAACAGG